UCUGUUGUCCAGCUUUUUGAAGUCCAUAUUUAAGCUCCUCGAGAUUUAUCUUGCCUCUCUUGUUUACGUCCAUCAUUUCAA
rnacentral:sRNA from 1 species